rnacentral:rRNA from 1 species
UACGUAGGUGGCAAGCGUUGUCCGGAAUUACUGGGUGUAAAGCGCGUGUAGGCGGGAGGCCAAGUCUGCUGUGAAAUCGCUCGGCUCAACUGGGCGGGGUCGGUGGAAACUGGUCACCUGGAGGACGGUAGAGGCGAGUGGAAUUCCCGGUGUAGUGGUGAAAUGCGUAGAGAUCGGGAGGAACACCAGUGGCGAAGGCGGCUCGCUGGGCCGGUCCUGACGCUGAGGCGCGAGAGCGUGGGGAGCAAACCGG